AGGGGCGGAUCUACAGCUAAGUGAGUGUGUGCACUUGCACCCCCUGUCUUUGUAUAAUUUACUCUCAAAAUUCUGUUUUUGAACUAUUUUGCACACCCUCAAAUAUUGAAUUUGCACCACCGUUUUCUCACUCCAAGCUUUUAAUCAGGCUUUUCAUUUUUUGACUGAAUGGUACAGCCAGAUCAUGCUUAUAGGCUUUGUACAUUUUACUUUAUAUACUUACAUUUUAUUUGUUUUUUCAUAUACGUGUAUAGUAUGAAUAGGGUUGUAGGCUUUUACUUUUUAUAUAAGGUUUUAUCUUAACUCUUGUAAUUAACUUAUUAAAUACUUGGUGAAUUAUCCUAAACUUCUCUCAGGCAAAAGUACAAAAAUAAGAGUCCAACGCAGGGUAAAUGGAAGUAGCCACUAAGCUAUAGGUGUGUGUAGCUCGCUAGGUUUAACGUAUCAUAAUUCACAAUUCUUCGAUUUUAAUUAUAAGUAAAUUAAUAUUCAUUUUUUAGAUUUAUUGAAUAACUGACAAUCCGAUAUUCCGAUCUAUGAAUAUAUAUGCUUAUAAUUAAGGUCACAAUGAGUAAGUGUUUUAAAUUUUGUGUUAGUUCAUGUAUUUAUAUAUAAUAAUUAUUAAUGUUUUUAGUUGAAAAUUUUGCACCCGCUGACUCGGGGUCCUGGAUCCGCCACUG
rnacentral:lncRNA from 1 species